GUGAUUAUUGACUUUUAAAUUGAGAAUAAGCAGUUUUUUAUUAUAGAUCUGCCAGACAGGAAUUCCCACCGUGUCUCUAUGCCUUGGACUUCGGUGCCUUCCCCUCCAUCCGCAGGAAUGAGGAGGUGCAGACAAGCCCCUGUGACCUGGCCAGCUGCUGGGCCAAUCAUCUCCUGACACGCUGCCUGCCGCCUAGCACCACAGAGGGGGAGAGCCGGCCCUCACCAACGCCCAGGCCUGCAGAUGCCGGGCUUUCUCACGCCAGCCCACACCCUUGUGCUGAUGAGCUAACGAGCCACGACUCAGGAAAUCCCCCUCACGUCCCGCUAUUGACACGACCCAGGCUCGAACCUGCGACACCUGGAUUGCGUACUGCAAGCUGCCAUCCGAACCUUUCGAAUCAGGAUUCCCGGGUAGAACACGUGUGUGUGAUUCCUUUAACACGUCUCAGACAUGCCUGCUGAAAUAUAGCAGCACAUACAGCGAGGGGAACAUUGUGUUUCUGAAGCAGACGAGAGUCCUUCUAUUAUUCCUUUUUCCUCUCAAAGCAAAUGGAAAGACUUUAUUUCCCCUCUUGCCUUGAUGGCAUUUGAUAAGAAUAAAAUGUUCUAUUUUCUCCAUAUGCUCCUCAUCUAUAGCACCAUAUGCCACAAUGUUGUGUCAAUGUGUAUCGCACUUUAAAGACUGCAUUCUGUUUAAUUUCUGUAUAUUUUUCCAUCCAC
rnacentral:lncRNA from 1 species